AGUUUCAAAGUGAUGCGACUUCAACUUCAUCAAAAAAUGCCUUGACCAAAAACUUUAACCAAAACUUUAACCUGAACUUCGCACAAUAAUUUUCUAUGUUCAGUGAAACCGUGAAAUGGGGGUCAAAACUUUAAUUUGGCAUUAAAAUUAGAAAGAUCAUAUCAUGGGAAACAUGUGUACUAAGUUUCAAGUUGAUUGGACUUGAACUUCAUCAAAAACUACCUUGUACAAAAACUUUAACCUGAAGCGGGACGAACGGACAGACGGAAGGAGGCACAGACCAGAAAACAUAAUGCCCCUCUACUAUCGUAGGUAGGGCAUAAAAAUUGAAAAUGACAAAGAGCAACAUUAACUUGUCUUGGGUCAAAACAUUCCUUUAAAUAUCAAUAUAUUUCAAAUUGCUGUUGUCUAAUCACA
rnacentral:lncRNA from 1 species